AUGCACGCUGGCGGCGUGCCUCAUCCCUGCAAGUCGCGCGAACAGACGAGGAGCUUGCUCCUCUGACGUUAGUGGCGGACGGGUGAGUAACACGUGGAUAACCUACCUAUAAGACUGGGAUAACUUCGGGAAACCGGAGCUAAUACCGGAUAAUAUAUUGAACCGCAUGGUUCAAUAGUGAAAGACGGUUUUGCUGUCACUUAUAGAUGGAUCCGCGCCGCAUUAGCUAGUUGGUAAGGUAACGGCUUACCAAGGCAACGAUGCGUAGCCGACCUGAGAGGGUGAUCGGCCACACUGGAACUGAGACACGGUCCAGACUCCUACGGGAGGCAGCAGUAGGGAAUCUUCCGCAAUGGGCGAAAGCUUGACGGAGCAACGCCGCGUGAGUGAUGAAGGUCUUCGGAUCGUAAAACUCUGUUAUUAGGGAAGAACAAAUGUGUAAGUAACUAUGCACGUCUUGACGGUACCUAAUCAGAAAGCCACGGCUAACUACGUG
rnacentral:rRNA from 1 species